UUAAGCCUAUGUUGCCAUGUUGGCUCUAGUGCUGCCAUUCUCUAAUGUCUGCUGCUGAUUUUUUCACUGCAGUGGUCGGGGUUAAGCAACUGAUUUAUUAGCAGUAAACUUGUUCAUCGUCUGGUAGGGGUGUGACGAGACACUAAUAUCACGAGACGAGACGAGACAGGAGUCAGGUUUUAUUUGACAAAAUCAUGUAACGCAAACCUAACAGACUGGUUUCUCUCACACAUUGAUUCUAUAAGAAAUAUAAAUAAGAAUAAAAAAUAAAAAUAAAACUUUUCUAGAUCUUAUAUAGUGCAAACAAUAAGUGCAGAACCACAACCAGUCAUAUUAAGACUAUGCUUGAAGUGAAACAGAGACAGAACAUGUUUUUAAAUACAGUACAGAGCUAAGGGAUUAGUACAGCUGUCUAUGAAACAGUCACGUGUAGGAUUUACUUACAGUAUUUAUAUAUGGUUUGUGUCUUGUUGGUCACUCUGUUACCGUUUAUUGUUUCCACUGGAGCCAAAAUGCAGCCAGACAUACAACUUAAAAGUAGCAGAAGCAUCUUCUAUACAAAUACCUGAAUUUUCCUCUUCUGCUGAGAGCUGCUCUCACUGCUCAGCCACCACACUCGCUGCUAUCACUACUGUGUUGCCAGAUCCCUCUUAAAAAGUCCACACUAAACUGUUAUUUUUUCCCACGAGACAGAUUUAAGCUUGACGAGAAAUAUCGUCAUGUAUUAAUCUCGCGAGAUCUCGUCACACUCCUAUCGUCUGGUUUAUUGUCUGUUCUGAUGCACAACAGCUUUCGAUUAGUGUCUGGCAAUCUGAUAAUAAAUGCAUAUUUCAGAAUGAUGAGGUAUUAGAAUUAAACUGCUAAUAUUUCACGAGGCUCUGAAUAUAAAGUGUUUUACGAAUGGAAAUUAGGGCCAAACCUAACAAAAUAUUUAAUUAAAUACGUUAAUGUUUAUCAUGGACAACAGUUCAAAAUAUUGUUGAGAAUUUAAAGGUUAAAACAUUGUCUUAUAAUCAUGGAAACUAUCAAUUAAGGGUUAAAACAUUGUUGCCCUAUAAUCAUACAAAAUACUUAAUGAAAACCCAAUCAGUAUAAUCCAUUAGUGAUUUUAAUAAGGUUUACUCAAUAUGUUAAUCAAUCAAUAUGUUACCUGUAUUCAAAAGGAAAUUAUUUAGCACUUUGUAAUCUUUAUUCAUGUUGGUGAUCAUAUGUUAACGGACACAGUACUCUUUAGAAUCAUAUAACAAAUGUAGUUUAAUUGAGUUUGCACAAGAAUGUUUCACAACACAUGUGUAGCCAUCUGUGGUUAGUUAGACCUUGAGAGUGAGGGAGGUUGACCCGUCCCCUUAGACCAAAGAUAAGGAGGGAACUUCUACUGAAAUUAUGUUGCCAGAACCAGGCGGGAGGACAAUAGAUUUAUUAUACUGAAGACGCAGGUGACAGGCAGGCAUGGCGUCAUGUCAAGAUAGGAUACAGUUUAUGGGACCAGGGGGGGGGCUGUUCAACCUUCUUCACUCACACCAUAGUGGGAUGAUCUAUAUAAUCUUGUGUAUGUCUUUUUGUGUUAGAACAUUCUCCUUGACUCUCUGAGCGGAGCAUUGUUCCCGGAAGAUCUUCUGAAAUAAACUGUUAAAUUUGCUGCAAACUUGGUAUCCUGACUCCUCUUGACUUCUCUACUCAUCUCAACCAUUUAAAAGAAUUCAGGGGGAACGCACUGGAGACGGCGCUGUAAGGGUAGUGCGGGCUUCCCCGAACAAUUUGGAGGCACCGCUGGGAUGGUGAGAUUUGGGCUAGAGAAAGUUGAUUCGGACCGCGGAGAAAACUGACUGAACCACAAGUCCGGGAUCCCCUUCAAUAAAAGGUAAGCAGAGCCUGUUAAAAUCAAAAUCUGCUGAUUGGCGUACUCUAAAUUGUGGACAAACUGGUUCAUUUUGGUCAACUCCAUUCCAAAUUUUUGAGGAGGAUACUAUAGAUUAUUUAGAUUGAAUCGAUAACAAAUUGGAUUACUGUAUCAAAUUGAGCCAUUUCAUAUAGACAUUAUUGGGAUCUAAUUGACAACAAAUUGGACUAUUGUAUCAAAUUGAGUUAUUGUCUUUGAUGUUUUCUGUUGAACGUAGAUAUAAUUGUGUCGGAGUGAGUUGUUGUAUGUGAUAGUUACUGCUAUACAUUGGGGAUAAUUGACAAUAGACUGGGUUAAUAUAUUGGGUGUUGUAUGUUGUAUGUUGCGUGCUUUAAGAGGCGUGAAUGGGACCAUAUGUGGAAAAGCCUUCAUUAGUGCGUGAGUGUUAGUUUAAAAUAAACGAGUAGCUUAAAAGUGUGAACGGGGGUCCUUAGGUAUAAUCGAAGGCGGACCGGGAGCGGUAUCUCCCGGGUGGGCGGCGUCCCCACACAUCACGGGUGUGGUAACCCCUCCUGGGCUGGACGCGGUCCCAGUUUAACUCGGUUUGGCGAUUCCGCAGGAGUUGGUGGUACCUGGAAUAUCGAACUACUAUAAGAUUAUAGUGGGACUUUGUGUGUGGCGCUUUGUCAGAGACAAGUAAUUGGCCUGAAUGGGAGUGUGACUGAGUAUUGGGUGAUUGGGACGAGCCGAGAGAGCUCGAGUGUGACUGGGUUGGCAAUUACAGGUACUUGCUUCCGUCAGGGACGGCUAAUUCUAGAAGUGGGCACGGCUCGGCCGGCUGGUUUUUCUUUAACACCAGGAGUACCUAGCGUUGUGAUUUAAAUAUACACAAGAACUUUUUCAGUGCGCCUGAGGGAGUCUUGACACACACACAGUAUUGCUGUACAUUUGAGCAAAAAGAAUCUGCGGAUAAAUAGGGGCGGUAUCCCCGGGUGGGCGGCGACCCACUGCUUGUGUGCAUUGCUUAUUUGUGUCUUGUCUGGGGUAAAACAAACAAAUAAAAAGGGGGUAUGUGUAGCAGUAUAAACUAUAAGUCUAUGUGAAGUGAGUCUGUGGCCAAUAAGUGUGAGAGAGUAUGCGUGUGUAUGUGUGCAUCUUCCAGGGAUUAAGAAUGUAUUUAGCCUUGUGAUUGUGUAUGUGUGACUGAUAAACUAAUAAAAAGGGGGUACGCGAGCGUCUGUUACAGUGGUUAAAGGUGUGCAUGUGAGAGUGAAAGCGUGCUGUAAAGUUUUUUAGAAAGAGAGAGAGAAAGUUGUUUAGAAAGAGAGAGAGAGAAAGUUGUUCAGAGAGAGAGAGAGAGAAAGUUGUUCAGAGAGAGAGAGAGAGAAAGUUGUUCAGAGAGAGAGAGAGAGAAAGUUGUUCAGAGAGAGAGAGAGAGAAAGUUGUUCAGAGAGAGAGAGAGAAAGUUUUUCAGAGAGAGAAAGAGAAAGUUUUUCAGAGAGAGAGAGAGAAAGUUUUUCAGAGAGAGAGAGAGAGAACGUGAUUUUUUUUGUUGGAUCUGGGGGUUUGGAAACGUCUGUGUGAUCGAAAAAGAGUGUGUGUGGCAGAGAGAAAGAGUGUGUGCGGUAGUCAACAAGAGUUUAUGUGUACGUGACAGAGUGUGUGGGACAGGAGCCGUGAGCGUAUGGGUGUGUGUGUGAUUGGGUGAGUGUACGAAGUCGUGUGUGAGAAGAAAAUAGGAACGGACGAGUCCCACUGCAGGGGAGGAGUCCAAGGUGGAGUAGGUGGGUGGUGUUGGUCCAGCCCAUUGAUUUGGGUUUAGACUGGGAGGUUUGUUUUAUUUGUAAAUUAACGCUCGUGAGACAUCAUAGAAAAUAGAACAUCAGUUCAGUAGGGAAAUAGAGUAAUACACAGUGAAAAUAGGGAACAGAGGUGAACAGAGGGAAAAGGCUUUUAUACAGGUGUCUUUGAGUAAGCAGAUAGAGAAUUUAAUAAAGGGAUUAUGGGGUGGUUAGCAAAAAAAAAAAAAAAAAAGGGGAGGCAGAAUCGGGGACAAGAAUUAGCUUAAUUUUGGGGGAGCAAGGUAUUGGACUAUAUCUUGUGGGCCCCAAUCAAACAGUGACAUAUGUAUCGAUAUUCUAUAAGCAAAUCUAAAAAAAAAAAAAAGACUGUGUGUGGCUGCUUCGGAAUCGUUCCAUAUUGCAGAAAUACUAAGCCAUUUGUGUAAGCCAUUUUUGCAGUGCUUUGUCAAAUCUCAGCAGUAAUUUUUUUUUUUCCCUAUAUAGUUCACUAUUAAUUACAUUAUAUUAUAAUAAUAUUGUACAGAAGAUGUACGCUAGAAAUCCCAAAAUAUACUAUGCAAUGCAGUACUGUUGUGUCAGAUGUCCUCAGAGCAGGACAAAUAAACAUAGUUUAUUGUUUGAUUGUUUCAUAAUCAGUUCAGUAAAUGGAAAAUGCUACAUAGUGAAUAGUGAAUAAGUUAAUGAGUGAACCAUUCCAAAAACAGCGUUUGUUUCUCUUCCUUCUCUCAUCCUAUUCAUGUCUUAUUUAGACUGAUCUCAGUUCAGUCUUAGCUGAAUGAGAUCUAUAUAAGAUAGAUGUGAUAUCUAAUUUCUCUAAGUUUUAUGCAUCUCCGUCUAUGCUGAUAUUUUGAUCCUCUUAAGAGCAAGAGUAGAUUUCAGAAACCAGUGAGGAAAGACCUUAUUUUUAUUUUUAUUAUUAUUUUUUUUAAAGGAAACACAGUGUUGCAUCUAUUUCAAGCUACAGGGAAUUUGGUAUCUUUCUGAUAAGGGGACAUAAUCAAAUGUAUUAAAAAAAUUGAGCUUUCUAUUUUGCUUUCAAUAUGCUUUACUUUCUGCAAUGAAGAACUUGCUUUACUUUCUGCAAUGAAGAACUUGCUUUACUUUCUGCAAUGAAGAACUUGCUUUACUUUCUGCAAUGAAGAACUUGCUUUACUUUCUGCAAUGAAGAACUUGCUUUACUUUCUUUCUGUAUAGUAUUAAAUUAGACUAGAAAGAGAUCUGGAAUACAGCAUAAAUUUAGUUUUCAUGCUUAUACAGUGCCACCUAUAAAGCAAAUGCAUUCUGUAAUUUUCUGGCUGCAGCAUAAACAAAAUCAGCUAAGCAAUAUAAAAUUGUUUCAUCUGCAUAAUGGUAAAGUUUGCAGUCUGAGAAGCAGAGCCAGCAAUAUAAUUUAUGUAUAUAUUAAAUAAAACUGGACCAAAAUGUAACCUUAUGGUACACCUUUAAGGUACAGAUGCCAAAUCUGAAUAAUUAUGCAUUGACAUGCACUGUUUUGGGUCCAUUCCAGAGCAGUGUCAUCAAAGUCAAUCAUUUGAGUUAAAUUCACUGGGAGAGAAAGGGUGAUACUGAUGGUAAUAAAUAAAAUAUGUAUAAAAUAAUAACAAAUAAUAAACCAUGGGUACUUGGUGCCUUGCACGGGCUUUCAAGGUCAACACCAGAGUGUGAGUUUAUGACAGUAUGACAUACCCAGGUGUGCGCUCCCUAACUGUACCCUGCAGGAACACUACAGCACUGAAUGUUGAUAAAACAGUGCUGCUACACUGUGUGUGGUUCAGUGGGCUAGGCUGGUUAGCCAAAGACGGGUAAGAUCCCAACGUACUACAACGGGACAACCUAAGGCAGGCACAGUCUCGAUCUGACCACCACAUGCAAUUCAACAGACCACGGAGAAAACAUCUCUGAGGAGUUAGAGGAGGGGAAGCGCAGCCCAGGGGGAGAGUGAGUGGAUGAAUGAAGUGAUUGGGUGUGUCUCGGUGGAGGCCUGUGCAGGGUAGACCAGCCCAGUGGACAGGGGAAAGACAACAGAGGGUGGAGCAAUUUUGUGUUAAGUUUUCUGAAACAGAAAUUCUGUUUCAGAAAAAGGGGGAGAUGUAAAUAGAUCACCAUUAUUACCACCAUUAUUCAACUUUUAGUUUUUUUUUUUCUCUUACACCAAUAUUACCACCAUUUUUGACCAAUCAUUAUUUUAUAGAUAUAGAGCAUUUUAAACUUUUAGCUUGUUUAUCUUUUUAAAGUAUGGUUUUAAAACAACCACUAUGCGGAUGAGCAAUUACUUUCAGCAAUAUUGUAACAGUCUUAACUUUAAGACACACUCAGUCCUAAUUUAAAAAGAAGAAAUAAGAAACUUAGAAAUCACAAAAUUAAACUCACUAUUCAACAUGUGAGCCACUUUUUGAGCAAGGGAAACAGUAAGUGAGAUUUGAUAAAUUGUUUAAGGAAAUAGAUGUAUUGUUGAUAAUUGUGAAAAGCAAUCUGCUUGGCAUUGUAUAUGCAUAAAUACAUAUUGAACAUAUUGAUCAGUAAAUGAAAAGCAUUGUUCGGAUUUUAUUGGCUAUAAUAACAAGAACAAAGCAAAGCAUAAAAUUGUUUAUUGAUAUUGCUAAUAUUAUUGUCUGUAAUGGAAAGAUUGAUACAGAGAAAAAUAAUCACGUUCCACUUAUCCCAAUUCUUAAAGCACUUAAUAAAAUCAACUAAAUAUAGAAAUCAAGUCUUUAUAAAAUCUUGGGAAUUGAAAAAGUCAGAAACAUAAUUUCUUAGUAAAAUAGCACACCGCAGAAAAUUAAAGUGGCAGGUAAAAUAAUAUAGCCACAAACAGUAAUUCUAAAGUCCAAGCAAGAGUAACCCAAGAAAGCCCAGUACAUCAAUAUGGAACCAUUCCUGACACAGAAGCCACAUUAUGUGUAGUUUGUGCAGAAUUUAAAACUUUGGGCCCUGAUAUUCUAUCAAUCAGUGUGGAUAUGGAGGGGAAAAUAGAGCAGCUGAUCAUUACGAUCUAUAUAACAAACAUGAUUUAGAUGUAUUUCCAGGUGUUUGUUUCUUAUUUAUUAUCUAUAUAGUAUUACCAAUACAAUAUGAGAAGAUCUACAGGAAGCUUUCAGUGGUAGGUUUAACAGCAGGUGUGUGUAAAGCAGCAGUUUUGUGCUGUGUAGCAGUAAAAUAUGGUCUGUACAAUGAUGCUGCAGAGUUGAGGUGUGUGAUCUUUAGCUUUGGUAGUGUUUGUGAGAGUGGAAGUGUUUGAGUUUGUGAGUGUGUGCAUGCACGAGAAAUAGUGUGUGUCUAGUGGUAAACUGGGUGGUGAACAUUAGUAGUGUUUGUAAGAGCUAAUUUGGAUAUAACAGAGCCACAGGGAAGCAGUUACACUAAAAGGGAAAGGGAUGUGAACAAAAGGAAGGUAAAAGCAAGUAAUUAAUGGUGAUGAUAAUUAAAUGUUGCAAUUUAAAAUUGAAAAUUCCUAAACGUUAGGGAUUUAAAGAAAUGACUAAACGUUAGGGAUUUAAAGAAAUGACUAAAUGUUACGGAUUGAAAGCACUUUUGACAGUAAAAAUCAUGAUUGAGUAUAACUGAAAAUCAGGACAACGGAAGAAGGUAAGAAAACAAAAAUUGGGCUGAAAUCUGUGCACAGACAAAAUUUAAAUAUGAAAUAAUUGACUUCCAAGGGGAAAUUAGAGCUCAAGUUAAGUGUGAUAAAUGUAUUUUAACCAUGUAUUUUAACUUGCAGGAAGGAGACACGGCGGACCCUUAAAAGACUUCCAAAAUGAAUAGAGAACCUUAAACAUAAUUAUAAUGAAUAUAAAAGUCUCGUUUCAGAUCUGUUUACACAGGGGGAGAAGGAGAACGUGGUGCACAGGUGGACCAGUCCAGACACAGAGUGAGGGCUCCUCUGCCAUUACGCACGAAAGGGGAACGAGCCUGGCUGGAUUGAGCGUUUCCAGGUGACUGAGAGAACAACGUACGCAGAUCAACUGAAAGGCGAGGGUUCGACAUGGUACAACUGGAGCCAGUGUGCAGCCACACAGCCCAGAGAUCGCUCCCAGAGCCAGAAGGAGAGGUGAGAACAGCAGCUGAAUCGUCUGACCCAGAUGCAGGCCCGCAGCAGGAAGGAGGGGCAGCAGAGCCCCCGCAGCACGGGCCUGGCCUGGCCACAGCAGAGAAAAGAGUUUCUCAGAGCGCAGCAGCAGCAGCACACAGCCUGGCUGUGACCGAGGAGAGGAAGUGAGGGAGUAACUCAUUCAGCAACGUUUCGAUUGCGUCAAAAAGUACACUACAUACAGAGACUCAUACACAUCUCAUUAAAGAACACACAUAGUCUUAUCACACCCACUCAUACUUUUCAUUCACUGAUAUUGCAGACACCAAGAGCCAGAAUAAAGCUCUUCGUGCGUAUAGGGCUGAGGUAGUCUACCCUCAGAACCCUGAAGCAAGAAGAAAAAAGCAGACGAAAAUGUCAGAUGGACAGUUGUAUUGUUUGAUUUUUCAUUGAUUGGUGAUUUUUGUGUUUCUUUUUCUAGGAGGGUUGAUUUAUUCUAUUUUAGGGAAAAUCUAUGCCUUAAAUAAAGUGAUAAAAUCAGCAGGGGUCGAAAGGGGGUUCCACUUGACCUAGUGACAAAUAAAUCAAACGUAGAGAGGGUUUAUUUAGGGGGUUUGGCUUAUUAUUUAAAGUGUGUGUUGUAUAAUUCAAUCAAUGCAGAAAGAGUGUGUUGACUAUAGGGAAUAAAACGUUAGAAGCUGGGAGAGGUUAUACUUAGCCUUAGCUGAGAAAAGGGACACACAGGAGCGUUUUAGUUUAUUAUUCAUUUUUAUGUAUUAAAGGCAUUUUAUAUUUUUCCAACUUACAUACAGCAAUAAACUUAGUGGCACAUUUGGGUAUGAGAAACAUUCCUUCCACAGGUUAGUCUUCGCUGGAUUUGGUGAGUAUCAACCAUAGGGGCAAUAAUUCUUUUCUAGCAGGGGGUAAAUGGUCAACCUUACUUAUUUGGGAGUAAUCACAGUAAUUGUUGUAGGGGUUAGAUUCACAAUAUGAUCACUAGAUAGCUAAGUAGUAAUCCAUUGGCCAAGCCUGCUCAGCCUGACAAAUUGGGUACAAACACAUUUGGGGACCACAUGGGAAAAAUCAAAUGACUAGUAGAGACAGUACUAUGGGGCAAUAGAGUUAAAAGUAUAGUAAGGGUAGUAUAACCAUUUUUCAAGUAGAUAUGUGUGAUAUAAUCAAUCACAGGAGCAAAAUCAGGGCAAAGAGGGUAUGAUGUCUACCUGCGCACUGUCCGAAAGUUAAAGCAAUUCUGUGGUGUACAAAGAGGGGAUGGUAUGGUCAGGGCUCAUGCAGGAGUAGGUGUGAAAUCCUUGCAUGUACGGGGGUAAGUUGGAACCUAGAUCCAAGUUAUACUGACCAGUGGAAAAAUAAGAGGGAUAAUGUUUGGAUUCAGAGGGGUCAUUGACCUAGGAGAGGGGGCAACGGGGUUCUAAAGAGGAUCUAAAAGCACAUGCGCCAUGGUCAGACUAGCUGCACCAUUAAUUCUAAUUAAGCAAGUUCAAUCUAAUUACACUUCCAACAUUUAAUCCGACGCUAGGAGCUAAAUAUAAAUUGGCUGAUCAAAUUGCUGUAGCAUUUGAAAACAUUCACAUUAUCUCUGCAAUAUUUCCAGUUACUCCAAACAAAAUAUGGAUAGAAUUAUUUUUGUGCUUUACAAUGUGUUUUGAUUAACUAACAUCACUAUACUGUAAAAAUAAGUCACUACAACUUAAAAUCAUUAAGCAACUAAUUUCCUGGCUUUUUAGGUUAGCAAAAGUUUAAGCCUCAUUUCUUCUCUGAAAUUACAAAGUUAAGUUGGCCCAACGAGUCUUGAAUUAUUGAAUCACCUCAACAGAGAGUUUAUUAUUCUUUUAUCACUAUCCAAUAUUGGCCAGUGGAAAACUCUGAUCAUGUCAUUGUUGAUGUCUCUUGCGGUGCUUGUGGGAAUUUUGUAACAUGUGGAUGUUGUUGUGUACCAUGUAUUAGGGCGUUGAUUGUCAGGCUGAUCACUAACAUGAUUGAAGAGAAGCAGGACAGACCACCUCCAUAUGUUCUACCUUUGUUAGACUGUGCAGAUGGUGGGGCAGAGUAUCAGAUGGAAAACAUUGAUUUUUAGGUGGGAUUAUCCCACCUAAACAGGGGGAUUGUUGAGAAUUUAAAGGUUAAAACAUUGUCUUAUAAUCAUGGAAACUAUCAAUUAAGGGUUAAAACAUUGUUGUCCUAUAAUCAUACAAAAUACUUAAUGAAAAACCAAUCAGUAUAAUCCAUUAGUGAUUUUAAUAAGGUUUACUCAAUAUGUUAAUCAAUCAAUAUGUUACCUGUAUUCAAAAGGAAAUUAUUUAGCACUUUGUAAUCUUUAUUCAUGUUGGUGAUCAUAUGUUAACGGACACAGUACUCUUUAGAAUCAUAUAACAAAUGUAGUUUAAUUGAGUUUGCACAAGAAUGUUUCACAACACAUGUGUAGCCAUCUGUGGUUAGUUAGACCUUGAGAGUGAGGGAGGUUGACCCGUCCCCUUAGACCAAAGAUAAGGAGGGAACUUCUACUGAAAUUAUGUUGCCAGAACCAGGCGGGAGGACAAUAGAUUUAUUAUACUGAAGACGCAGGUGACAGGCAGGCAUGGCGUCAUGUCAAGAUAGGAUACAGUUUAUGGGACCAGGGGGGGGGCUGUUCAACCUUCUUCACUCACACCAUAGUGGGAUGAUCUAUAUAAUCUUGUGUAUGUCUUUUUGUGUUAGAACAUUCUCCUUGACUCUCUGAGCGGAGCAUUGUUCCCGGAAGAUCUUCUGAAAUAAACUGUUAAAUUUGCUGCAAA